UACGUAGGGUGCAAGCGUUAAUCGGAAUUACUGGGCGUAAAGCGUGCGCAGGCGGUGAUGUAAGACAGUUGUGAAAUCCCCGGGCUCAACCUGGGAACUGCAUCUGUGACUGCAUCGCUGGAGUGCGGCAGAGGGGGAUGGAAUUCCGCGUGUAGCAGUGAAAUGCGUAGAUAUGCGGAGGAACACCGAUGGCGAAGGCAAUCCCCUGGGCCUGCACUGACGCUCAUACACGACAGCAUGGGGAGCGAACGGG
rnacentral:rRNA from 1 species